AUUGAACGCUGGCGGAAUGCUUUACACAUGCAAGUCGAACGGCAGCACGGGGCAACCUGGUGGCGAGUGGCGAACGGGUGAGUAAUACAUCGGAACGUGCCCAAUCGUGGGGGAUAACGUAGCGAAAGUUACGCUAAUACCGCAUACGAUCUACGGAUGAAAGCGGGGGAUCGCAAGACCUCGCGCGAAUGGAGCGGCCGAUGUCAGGUUAGGUAGUUGGUGGGGUAAAGGCUCACCAAGCCAACGAUCUGUAGCUGGUCUGAGAGGACGACCAGCCACACUGGAACUGAGACACGGUCCAGACUCCUACGGGAGGCAGCAGUGGGGAAUUUUGGACAAUGGGCGCAAGCCUGAUCCAGCCAUUCCGCGUGCAGGAUGAAGGCCUCGGUUGUAAC
rnacentral:rRNA from 1 species